GCCAGGGUGGGGUAGAGGUAGCCCGGGGGCCUGUGGAGCCCUCGGCCCGGGUUCGAAUCCCGGCCCUGGCC
rnacentral:tRNA from 3 species